UACGUAGGGGGCAAGCGUUGUCCGGAUUUAUUGGGCGUAAAGAGCGUGUAGGCGGUUUGGUAGGUCCGCUGUGAAAACUCGAGGCUCAACCUCGAGACGCCGGUGGAAACCAUCAGACUAGAGUCCGGAAGAGGAGAGUGGAAUUCCUGGUGUAGCGGUGAAAUGCGCAGAUAUCAGGAAGAACACCCGUGGCUAAGGCGGCUCCUCUAGUACGGUACUGGACGCUGAGACGCGAAAGCGUGGGGAGCGAACAGG
rnacentral:rRNA from 1 species